UACGGAGGGUGCAAGCGUUAUCCGGAUUCACUGGGUUUAAAGCGUGCGCAGGCGGCUUUGCAAGACAGAUGUGAAAUCCCCGGGCUUAACCUGGGAACUGCAUUUGUGACUGCAUGGCUGGAGUGCGGCAGAGGGGGAUGGAAUUCCGCGUGUAGCAGUGAAAUGCGUAGAUAUGCGGAGGAACACCGAUGGCGAAGGCAAUCCCCUGGGCCUGCACUGACGCUCAUGCACGAAAGCGUGGGGAGCAAACGGG
rnacentral:rRNA from 1 species